GUGCUUCCGCAAGGUGAGAAACUGGAUUAAUUACCACCGCCUCUUGUUUCAUAUAAUCAUGUUUGCUUAUAUCAACUUCGUACUGUUGCUGAUUUUGCAAUUUCUUGCUUGCUAAUUGAAUUUGGGAACGCAAAUUUGAUUGUUAGAAUUGUUGCAUCUUCGUUAGGCAUAUGGUAGCUUAUGCAAAUAGCCACACUUUCACCAGUGUCCCACACGCUGUCCGGCAGAGGAGGAAAGAGAAGGAGUUGUAUAAUCGAUUGGGGAGCAAGGGCAUCAUCAAGCGGAAUGACCCUCACGUUUGCAGGGUUUGUGGGAGAAAGUUUUACACUAAUGAGAAGCUUGUUAACCAUUUCAAGCAGCUAUACGAGAGCGAGCAAAUGAAAAGGGUGAACCAUAUAGCAUCGGCAAGGGGGAACCGAAGGGUGAAGUUGGUGGCAAAGUAUUCGAUGAAGAUGGAGAAGUAUAAGAAGGCUGCAAGGGAUAUUCUUACUCCAAGGGUGGGGUAUGGUUUGGCGGAUGAGUUGAAACGCGCAGGAUUUUGGGUUCAGUCCGUGUUGGAUAAGCCACAAGCUGCAGAUCAUGCAUUGGAAAGUCACAUGGUGGAUAUGAUGGAUCAUAGGUGGGUUGAAUGCAUAGUACUUGUGUCGGAUGAUUAUGAUUUCGCUAAUGUAAUAAGGGAAGCGAAGCUACGAUGUCUAAAGACAAUUGUCAUCGGGGAUACUAGCGAUGGUGUAUUGAAGAGGAUUGCUGAUACCUCCUUUUCUUGGGAGGAAAUCCUAAUGGGGAAUGCUAGAAAGGAGGCUAUAUCGGUUGUUGAGAACUGGAAGGAUGUGAUAUUUUGAAAAGGUUAGAGUGGAAAUACAACCCAGAGGUGGAUAAAAGGAAAUAUGAUCCGGCUGAUGUGGUUAUUGAAGAAUCAGAAGAUGAUAAUAUUGAAGGUGUUUGUGAUGAUGUUUGAUGGUGACUAUAAGGAUGAUGGAGGUUAUUGGUGGGAGUUAGAUUCCAAUGAAAAUGUCACAAAUGAACAGACACGAAAAUCAUAAUUGAAAAUGAGGUACUGCAUGGUGCUUUUUGCAGGCAUUGCAGCUGAAGCUCUUGUUUAUGGUGAGGCAGAGGGGAGAGAAAAUGACAAAAACCUAUUCAGAAACAUGUCUUCUUUUAGAGCCCCCAUUAUCUUUAGCUGAGGGUUGUUACAGCUGAUCUGAAGUGCAGCUGGUUUUACUGGUCUGAGUAUAGUUUUCAGAUGUCCCUCUGUUGGACCUUGUAUAGGAUGAAAGAGUGCCAUGCUGCAAACAAAUGAAGAAUUUCAACUUCAGCAAGUGACCUCUUUGUUCACUUCAGUGUUCACACUGAGACAUGAGCCAUUCCAAAAGUUGCACCCCGCUUGGCUAAAUAAUACUUGGAACAAUAUUUGAUACUUACAGAGAAGUAGCCAAUAAUUUGGAGCAGUUCUUAAGGCUUAUUUUAUUUCACCAGCAAUAUUGGCCGUGGGUGAUAUCAAUCACGGGUUUGUUUGUAAAUAACUAUUUAGGAUAACUAUUUAUGUCAGUUGGUAUUUCAUAAGUUCGUGGACAUUAGGUAUGGGAAUCUUUUACCCC